UCUUCCGUAGUAUAGUGGUCAGUAUGCAAGCUUGUCACUCGACUUGUACAUCCCCAACUGAGGAUAUUCAACCAGAGCAGCUCGCUUGAGACCCGGGUUCAAUUCCCGGCGGGAGAG